rnacentral:lncRNA from 1 species
UAAAAAUAUUUUUGCAUGCAAAUCAAGUCACAUCUGGUUCUGGAAAUUUCUGGAGGUUUCCACAACAGCAUCAUUUUCUUGUUCAAUUAAUAUAAAAAAGCGCAUUCAUACAUGCACAUUUUGGUGUACAUGUGCAAUACAAUGGCUGAAUACACAUUUUAAUGAAGUGAUUGCUUUAGUCAUAUGCUAUGGCGCUGUUAAUGUGAAUGUUUCUGCUGCAGCUUAACUUUAUCAGGGAAGACAUCCCUCAGCAUAAACACUUAGAUCUAUCAUAUAUCAAUUCCUUGAAAAGCCAAGAUCAGGUCAUUCACAAACAGCAACUGAUGAGGCCACAACAACUUUCAUCAUUGCAUAAUAACAAUAGAGGAUCUUCAAGAUUGCAUCAUUACUGCUUGUAUAGAGAUUUCUA